rnacentral:miRNA from 1 species
AGGUCUCUAUUGCCACGGUUAAGC